GAGCUCGUAGCUCAGUGGUAGAGCGUUCGGCUUACAUCCGAAAGGCCGGGGGUUCAAUCCCCUCCGGGCUCAC
rnacentral:tRNA from 1 species